GUAUUUCCUCUCUGGUUGUGAGGAUCCAACCAGUAGUUGUUUUGUAGCGCUUUUGAGACUGAAAUUUUUUCAUCUUGACUUCUGGAAAAGUAUCGGCACAAUGUUUUCAGGAGCUGAUCCAUUUAUCCAAGAGGAGUGCCAGAAAAUAGCCUUCUUGCCGUUACCUACUGUCACUAUGGUUGAAGAAUUGAAAAGCUCUCUAUCAGCUUUGGUACAAGGGAUAUCAAGUCCUUUCCAAGGUUUGUCGUCACUUUUCCAUUGAAACCAACACCAUCAUAACCGAAGGGCCCUUGCUAGCCUUUCUACGUCCAGAAUGCCCAAUCCUCCCCAUUCCUUUGGCAUACAUGUCGUUGUCCAGUUAACCAAGCAACGUCCUUCAUGAACUUUCUC
rnacentral:lncRNA from 1 species